rnacentral:rRNA from 1 species
UAGGCGACCGGGUGAGUAACACGUGACUAACCUACCUUCGAGUGGGGGAUAACCUCGGGAAACCGAGGCUAAUACCGCAUAACAUCCUUGGGUCGAAAGAUCUGAAGACCAAAGCAGCAAUGCUCUUGAAGAGGGGGUCGCGGCUGAUUAGCUAGUUGGCGGGGUAACGGCCCACCAAGGCGAAGAUCGGUAGCCGGCCUGAGAGGGCGCACGGCCACACUGGAACUGAAACACGGUCCAG